GUCCUCAGGGCCUUGGGAGAAAGGAUUCUGUGGUGCCCUGGGAAUUAACUACUCAGCCCCUGAUGAGCUAGUCCAGGAGAAAUCCUCAGUAACAGGGCUGCCAGCACAACAGACGGGCAAGGAGGGAUGACAUCACUCAGCAACAGAGCCCACUGUGGCAUCACAGGCUGCUCUUAGCAAGUGAGGAGCAUUUGGACCCCAGCCCUUCACUGGAACACACACGCACAUGCACAUGCAUGUACACACACAUACGCACACAUGCAUGCACACAUCACUCUGCACAUACCACACCACACACACGCACACACACAUACCACUCUGCACAGACUCUGAGCAGUCCAAAAGUCCCUGUGGACCCUUUGGUUCACACAACCCUGGAGGGGAUGGGGAAGGACCCACCCAGCCUUGCAGAGGCAGAAUGACUCUUGCCAGUCAGGAAUUCCUACAGCGGGUUGCAUCAUUCACAUAACAUUAGCAGCCAUCAAAGGCUAAAGAGCAGCCCCCAAAAAGGAGAGGCUCAGUGGCCACAAUGGCUGUGGCCCCUCACUUCCGCACUGUGCAGAGGGCCCUAGGGGCCCUGGCCUCUGGGCCUGAGCUCAAGGCCACCACGAUAGUGUCCCAUCAGAAACGUAUGACAUCCUGCUGCUCCUGCUCCGUCCUGAGGUGGCAUCCCCCAGUUUUCUGGGUGUACACAUCCAUCUCCUAAGCUUGGCUGGUGGGCGUCUGCCCAGAUGAGGGGGCCAAGGACCCAACUCUGCACAACAGCAAAUGCAUUCAGGGAGGGCCACUGGGACCUCCAGGAGCUGCUGAGAUACCACCCAAGUCCCAGGCGUGUGCAGGACUCAUGGGGCCAGAGGCAUAAUUUCACUCUUGUUGCCCAGGCUGGAGUGCAAUGGUGUGUGUGAUCUCAGCUCACUGCAACCUCCACCUCCCCGGUUCAAGCAAUUCUCCUGCCUCAACCUCCCAAGUAGCUGCGAUUACAGAGACGGGGUUACACUAUGUUGUCUAGGCUGGUCUUGAACUCCCGGCCUUAAGUGAUCCACCCACCUCGGUCUCCCAAAGUGUUGGGAUUACAGGUGUAAGCUACUGCAACAGAGAUGAGGUUUCACCAUGUUGCCCAGACUGGUCUCGAACUCCUGUGCUCAAGGGAUCUACCCACCUCGGCCUCCCAAAAUGCUGGGAUUACAUGCGGGAGCCAUCGUGCUUGGCCUGUGUAUGAUUCUUGUAUGCAUAAAUUAUUACUAUGAUGGCUGCCAAAUGGUGAUUCUAAACCCCAUCAUCCCUUCAUUUCCGAGCUGACUUUGACUAGAAGGAGAAACUUCCUCUUAUCACUUUUAUUUAUAUCCAUGUGGACCCAUGAUUUCUUAUUCUAUUCAAAGGAUACUAAUUCAUUAUCAUUAUUUGUGUUGAUGUUCAAAUUUGUCCCAGAUUUGACCAGUGGGAGCCCCUUCAAGUUGGAUCGUGUAUCCUUUUGAUGUGUCAUUAUGAAUAUUUUGUAUUUUCUGGCACAAUACAAUGUUCUAGGCUCAUCUCCUAUUUCUCUGGGCUAUCCUGGAAUAAGCCAUUUUCCAAGGAGCUCUGGCUCCUUUAGUGGAGAAUAAUGGAAACCAAGAUCAGCCGGGCGCAGUGACUCAUGCCUGUAAUCACGCCUGUAAUCCCAGCACUUUGGGAGGCCGAGGCGGGCAGAUUGCUUGAGCCCAGGAGUUCAAGACCAGCAUGGGCAACAUGGCGAAACCCCCAUCUCUUCCAAAAAUACAAAAACUAGCCAGGUGUGGUGGUGCAUGCCUGUAGCCCAAGCUACCUGGGAGUCUAAGAUGGAAGGAUCACCCAAGCCCAGGAAGUCAAGGCUGUAGUGAGCUAUGCUUGUACCACUGCACACAAGUGUAGGGGACAGAGCAAGACCCUGUCUCAAAAAAUAAAUAAAUAAAUAAAUAAAGGACAGGCGUGGUGGCUUACACCUGUAAUCCCAGCACUUUGGGAGGCCGAGGUAGGUGGAUCACCUGAGGU